UGCGUAGGCGGAUUAAUAAGUCAGUGGUGAAAACCUGCAGCUUAACUGUGGAACUGCCAUUGAUACUGUUAGUCUUGAGUACGGUCAAGGUAGGCGGAAUGUGUAAUGUAGCGGUGAAAUGCUUAGAUAUUACAUAGAACACCGAUUGCGAAGGCAGCUUACUGGGCCAUUACUGACGCUGAGGCACGAAAGCGUGGGUAGCGAACAGGAUUAGAUACCCUGGUAGUCC
rnacentral:rRNA from 1 species